AAUCGUUCAAAAUCUUUUACAAGUUUUUCCAAGAACGAAUUGGAAAAACAGAGUACAAUGGCGGGUCUCGAAAGGCCUUCGGUCCGUCAUUGAGCUUCCAGGCCAGUCGAUUGAAGAAACGCUUCUCUCGGAAGAUCGUGCGAUAACGAUAUCCCAUAGUAGGAUACCGGCUGAUUUAGGAUCCUGUUUACCCGUGUCCCGAGCUGCUCCGUUCUCUCAUAGGUCCUGUUUGCCAUCCGAGAGAGUAGCCACUAGGAGCUCGCAGGUCUCAUUAAGAUCCCAAAGCGAACCGACAGUCUCUCACAACUUGCACAAACGCACAAACGAUGUCGUACAAAUAGGCUGGAAGAAUUUUAGCCUCUAGAAGGAAUAUCUUCGACCACCUUUGUAAGAUUAUGAUCACGAUGGAUGCUGACGAACUGCCGAUCUGACGGACGAAACAACCACAGACCGGAAUGCAUACAGUCGUAAGGAUCUAUACGAAGAUCAAAGUUUUAUCACCAUGACGAGUAAUAUUUUUUAAACAGACAAUAUUUGAAAAUUUAACGUAAUGAAUUUUAAAAUUGCUGGCCAGUAAAAAAUCAAAAGUAUAACCUGUCGUGUUGUUUCCUGCAGUCUUCGCAUAUAUACGUAUUCGUGUUUGUCAGAACAUCCACUGUAACCAUAACUUAACAAGUAAGAUUCUUGCAAGAUGUUUU
rnacentral:misc_RNA from 1 species